rnacentral:rRNA from 1 species
CCCUUAGAUAGUCUGGGCUGCACGCGCGCUACACUGACAAUAUCAACAAGUUUACAACCUUAACCGAUAGGUUUGGGUAAUCUUUAAAACAUUGUCGUGCUGGGGAUAGAUUCUUGUAAUUUUUAAUCUUUAACGAGGAAUGCCUAGUAAACGCAAGUCAUCAACUUGCAUUGAUUACGUCCCUGCCCUUUGUACACACCGCCCGUCGCACCUACCGAUUGAGUGGUCCGGUGAGAUGUCAAGAGAUUAAAAUUUUAUUUAUAAAACUUUGAUCAAAUCUCAUCAAACCUUACCACUUAGAGGAAGGUGAAGUCGUAACA